AGAAUUUAGCAUGGGCACAGGGUCCUGAUAAGGUGGAAUUUUCCCACAAAGGGAUGUGUGUUCUGUUCCUAUUAGGACUCAUGUUUUGUGAUACCAGACAUAUCUGGACCUGGCACUGAUCCUUGGUGAGGCAUGAGGUUGUUGAUUUUAGUGUAUGAAGCAUAUCUUAGUGGCAAGGGUCCAUUGGGCCUUUCUCUACCUAGUUCUGCUCAUCCUCAAAGAGCCAUGGCUGGGGUGUACCACAUAGCCUGCUGCUACAGGCCUCCCUCAUUUCUGUUGGCCUCUGUGAGACAUGCCUCAAAUCUGUAGGGACUCCAGUGGCCUUUGCAGCCUGAAGAUGAUAUUUUACCCUCAACUAUGUUGUCUCUUGGACCAAAGGACAGCUGUUGGUCCACAUAAUCAACAGAGCUAGAGAGCAGGAGGGGAGAGUCGCAUUCUAAUCCCAACCGUGCCUCUAUCUCUUCAGAAGGUUCCAGGGAAAGGUGGGGGUGGCUUUGCCUCCUCCCCAUGUACAAAAGGCUCCAAUCCCUCCCUGCCCAGCGUUGCUUCAAGGUUGUUAUGGAGGGCAUGGGGAAGUCAGUGUUUAGCAGUCCUUUGGAGUAGAACAGAGAAGGGGGAGACAGUAGGCCUGUGGACUAUAAGGCUAGAGCCUGGGCCUUGGCUCAUGUUUAGGCAAGGGAGCCAGACUAGUGCAGAAGUCACCAAGGAAAUUAAAAUAGCUUCACAUAGGGGCUGGGAUUAUAGCUCAGUGCUAGACCAACUAGCCUAGCACAUGUGAGGCACUGGGUUCAAUCCUCACAUAAAAAUAAAUAAAGUAAAGGUAUUAUGUCCAUCUACAACUAAAAAAUUAAAAAUAUGUAUAUAUGUUCAUGUAAGCUGGGCCAUGUAAGCCGGGCUCAGUGGUGCGUACCUCUGAUCCCAGCUACUUGAGAGGCUGAGGCAGGAGGAUCCCAAGUUCGAGGUAAGCCUCAG
rnacentral:lncRNA from 1 species